CGGAGUGUAGCGCAGCCUGGUAGCGCACCUGCUUCGGGAGCAGGGGGUCGCAGGUUCAAAUCCUGCCACUCCGACCA
rnacentral:tRNA from 1 species